CAAAGUUUCGUAUGUACUACCCAUGCGAGUCAUUGUAGUAAUACAAGGCAGACGGCUCAGUAACGCGUCCCCUUCCAAGCCUAUGGACGGGAAUAACCUCGGGAAACUGACCUUUAUGCCCGAUAGAACAUUAUGCCUGGAAUGGUUUAUGUUCCAAAUGAUUUAUCGCCGUAGGAUGGGACUGCCCCCUAUCAGUUUGUUGGUGAGGUAAUGGCCCACCAAGACUAUUACAGGUACGGGCUCUGAGAGGAGUGGGCCGGAGAUGGGUACUGAGACACGGACCCAGGCCCUAUGGGGCGCAGCAGGCGAGAAAACUUUGCAAUGUGCGAAAGCCCGAAGAGGUUAAUCCGAUGUGUUUCUGCUAAAGAAAUCUUUUCGCGGUCCCAGAAAUCCCGAGGAAUAAGGGGUGGUUUUUGUUCUGGUGUCAGGCUCCGAGUUAAAACCUGCAGGCUCAGCGGUCAGGAUGAUUAUUGGGACUAAAGCGUCCCUAGCCGGGUGUGUUAGUUUUGGAUUAAAUCUGUACGCUCCACGAUCAGGGUGGCGGGGAUACUGGAAAGCUGGGUCGUGGGACAGGGUGACGGAACUCUCAAGGAAGGGGUAAAAUCUUUUGAUCUAUUGUUGACCAUCUGGGCUGAAUGCGGCCUAUCGGAAAAAAGCCGAAGGAGAUUAAUGAAAGUUGGGGAAGAAAACGGAAUUAUAUUCCCGGGUAGCCCCUGCUGA
rnacentral:rRNA from 1 species